rnacentral:lncRNA from 1 species
CUCAAAUGAAUUUAUCACAUCUGUAGUUGUAUAAUGAUCAUAACAAUCUGAUUUCACAGGAUUUCCAUCCCACAGCCCAGGCACAUCCCCCCACCCCCCCCCAAACUGUCUCCUCUGGAGACCAUAAGUUUUUCAAUGUCUGUGAGUCAGCAUCCGUUCUGCAAAGAAGUUCAGUCUGUCCUUUUUUCAGAUUCCACAUGUCAGUGAAAGCAUUUGAUGUUGGUGUCUCAAUGUAUGGCUGACUUCACUUAGCAUGAUAAUUUCUAGGUCCAUCCAUGUUGCAAAAAAUGCUGGUAUUUUGUUCUUUUUAAUGUCUGAGUAAUAUUCCAUUGUGUAUAUGUACCACAUCUUCUGGAUCCACUCCUCUGUCAAUGGACAUUUAGGUUGUUUCCAUGUCUUGGCUAUUGUAAAUAGUGCUGCAAUGAACAUUGGAGCACGUGUCUUUGCGAGUCAUGGUUUUCUCUGGAUAGAUGCCCAGGAGUGGGAUUACUGGAUCAAAUGGUAGUUCUAUGUUUAGUUUUCUGAGGAAUCUCCAUACUGCUUUCCACAGUGGUUGCACCAAUUUACAAUCCCUCCAACAGUGUACUGGUGUUCCUUUUCUCCACACCCUCUCCAGCACUUAUUGUUUGUAGACUUUUUGAUGAUGGCUAUUCUGGCUGGUGUAAGGUGGUACCUCAGAGUGGUUUUGAUUUGCAUCUCUCUAAUAAUGAGUGACGUUGAACAUCUUUUCAUGUGUUUCUUGGCCAUCUGUAUGUCUUCUUUGAAGAAUUGUCUGUUUAGAUCUUCUGCCCAUUUAUUGAUGGGGUUGUUUGUUUUUUUGGUAUGGAGCUGUAGAAGUUGUUUAUAAAUUUUGGAGAUGAAUCCCUGGUCAGUCGAUUCACUUGCAAAGAUUUUCUCCCAUUCUGUGGGUUGUCUUUUUGUGUUGUUUAGGUUUCCUUUGCUGUGCAGAAACUCUGAAGUUUGAUUAGAUUCCAUUUGUUUAUUUUUCUUUUUAUUGUCAAUACUCUGAAGGCAGAGACUUUUUAUUCGACAUUCAAAGUUGGAUCACAUCAACACAGGAGUCUAAAUAAUGACCCUUAAGAGCCAUUAUAAAAUGGAUUGAGUGGACUUCUCAGAGAAGCUCCACAGACAACACUUACUACUUUAGAUCUAGAAGCCACUCUAUUGUUGUUAUUGUUAAGAAUGAAUGACUUAAUAACUCUGAUUCCACUUUGGUCUCAACCUUGACAAUGUAUGAUUCAGAAAUGUGCCUGCCUUUGUCCCUAAUAAAGGGAGUUUCUUGAGUUAGAAAUUUAAUUUAUAUUUAUAAAGCAUUUAUAUUGAAUUAGGUAUUAUAAAUAAUCUAAUUUAAAAUGUACAAGAGGAUAGGAGUUGUCAUUGUGGCUCAAUGGGUUACAAAUCCAACUACUAUCCAUGAGGAUGUGAUUGUAUCCCUGCUUGCUCAGUGGGUUAAGGAUCUGGCAUUGCUGCGAGCUGUUGGGUAGGUCACAGAUGUAGCUUGGAUCCUGCAUUGCUGUGGCUGUGGCAUAGGCCCGCAGCUGCAGCUCCAAUUUUACCCCUAACCUGGGAACUUCCAUAUGCCACAGGUGCAGCCCUAAAAAAAUCUAAAUAAAUAAAUAAAUAAAUAAAGUUUACAAGGGGAUGUGUGCAGGUUAUUUGCAAAUACUAUGCUAUUUUAUGUAACGGAUUUAAGCAUCCUGAGAUUUUGUUACCCUUGACGGUCCUAGAACCAAUUUCCCACAGAUGCCAGGGACAUCUCUAUACAUCCUCCCAAAGAUGGUGCAGUAAAUUGAAAUAUACUCAAAUCUGGAGACAGUUGAAUUGAGGGAAUGUCUUUACACUUUCUAUUACUGGGAUCAGGGAAAUGGAGAGAGAGUGAAGUGAGCAGGAUGGCUAAGUCUAACCAUUAGGGAUGCCCUCAAGGAGCUUGCAGAAUCAUGGAGGAAAAUACAACAAAUAAAAAAAGUCUUUGCUGGUGUGCUAGAAGUUAAUAAAUUCUCUGGGGAAAACCAAGGCAAAGAAGGGGAAAACAGUGUGGGGGUUGAGGGAUGUAGUUUUAAAUAGGGUGAGGAGGGAAGGCCUCAUCGAAAAGGUGAUGUUGAGUGAAUACUUGAAGGAGGUAAAGAAGCGAGCUAUAUAUAUAAUUACAUAGAAAGCAUUCCAGGCAGAGGGAGUAGCAGGUGCAAAGACUGAGGUAGGAGGUGGCAUGGCUUAUUUAAGAAAAAGAAAGGAGAUGGCAUGCCUGAGGGUGAAUGAGCAAGGAAAGCAGAGCAGAAGACAGGGUUAGAGAGGUAAUAAGCAGCUGGCUGAACGAGUGUUAAAUUCCAUCCAGUUCUUUUUCUGCACCUGUGAAAUAAUUAUGUGAUUUUUCUCCUUUGAUUUCUUAAUGUAGAGGAUUAUGUUUUUAUAUUUGUCUGUGUUAAAUGUCUUUACGUUCCCGAGAUAAGCUAAAUUUGAUCAUGAUAUGUGAUUUCUUUAUAAACUAAAUUUAGUUUGGUAAUUUUUUUCAGGAUAUUUGCAUCUAUAUUCUUGAAUGAGUCUGGCUUAUAAUUUUAUUUUUUAUACAGCCAGAGUCAUACUAGCCUCAUGGAAUAAAUUGGAAAGAGUUCCCUCAUUUUCAACAGAAAUUACUAACUUGGACUUGCCCCUGUGUUUAUCAGUUUCCUCCUUUUUUUGUUUCCUUCUUACAUCUCAAACCUCCCUUCUGAGGUUAUUUUCUUUCUUUCUAAAAUACAUAUUUUAGGAGUCCCUUUAGUAAAGCACUGCUGCUAUGAAGUAUUAUACUUCAGUUUUUUGAGAAUGUCUUUAUUUCACUUUCAUUUUUGAAAGAUAGUUUUGCUGGGUAUGGAGUCCUCAAUUGGCAAUUAUUUUUCUUUCAGCAUUUUGAAGAUAGUAUCAAACUUUAAAUAUGAUACAGUUCCAGUUGUGUAAACAGACUGGAAAUAAACAUAUAAAUAAUCAUGAACACAGCACCCACAUGAUUGAAGUUAUUUAUCUCCUUGAUACUACUCCCUUUCUUCCUGAAACAGAAAGUAACUCUCUUGAAUCUUAUAUUUACCAUUCCCUUACUUUUUAACGAAGUUGUGGAACUAAGAUCAAACCACUGUGAGAAUUAUGGUGGCAGAACAAAAUAUAUAUACUUCUACUGGAAAAGAAGAAUAAUAUACCUAACAAAAAUAAAAAAUGAAAGGAAAUAUGAGAAUGCUAUUUUCCUUACUUCUCAUUACAUAUGGUAUUGCUAUUGUCCAAAGCAAUAUCUUAAAUGAAAUGAUUCCAACCUCUUUUUUCCUUAAACUUUUUUCUUAUAAUUUCAUAAAAUAUACCUAGUGGUGAAAAAUAUUUAUCUAGACUUCAGCAAUUCCUUAAGUGUCACAUUAUUUUCUACUCCUUCUAUAAAAUUAAAAUUAAAUGUAAAGCUUUUUAAUAAGAAUGGAAGUUAUAGUAUGAUCCUAUUUUUAUAAAAGUAUUUCUCCUAUUUAGUUUAUCUUUACAUAAGAUGGAGUGUUGGAGUUCCCGUCAUGGCGCAGUGGUUAAUGAAUCCGACUAGGAACCAUGAGAUUGCGGGUUCGGUCCCUGCCCCUUGCUCAGGUCUUUGUUUUCAGCAAUUAUCAAACUAAGCCUAAUUAAACUUGCUUUGCUUUGAUGUGCUGUAAUGUUUUCCAUAAUUUUAUAUUCUGAACCCAUUUUCAUAAGUCCUUGUUUGAAAUCAAGGAUAGACUAUGGAUUCAUUUUAUAUCUGUCAUGCCAUGAUUUAGUAUAUAUCUACUCAGGUUUUAAGAUGCUUACUUUUGGUCUA